rnacentral:rRNA from 1 species
UACGUAGGGGGCAAGCGUUGUCCGGAUUUAUUGGGCGUAAAGAGCGCGUAGGCGGCCAUGUAGGUCCGUUGUGAAAACUCGAGGCUCAACCUCGAGACGCCGAUGGAAACCAUGUGGCUAGAGUCCGGAAGAGGAGAGUGGAAUUCCUGGUGUAGCGGUGAAAUGCGCAGAUAUCAGGAAGAACACCCGUGGCUAAGGCGGCUCUCUAGUACGGUACUGACGCUGAGACGCGAAAGCGUGGGGAGCGAACAGG